CGGUAAUUCUGUCGGAAAAGUUGCAGUUGGUGUUUGGAGUCUGAUUUGGAAAAGAUCCUGGCUGGGAUAGUCUUUGUCAGCUCCCUCCUUAUUGAUGUGUUAUAGCUGGACUGCGAAGUUUUCAUGUGAUGGAGGCAGAAUUUGUCUUAUACUACUACUCCCCUUCUCUCAAAGUUCCUUACACAACUUGACCAACGCACUGAGCAGCUCAUGAAAGUGUUGAAGAACAAAGGAGGCUCUGCAGGGAGGAAAUCAGGAUCAUU